AACUAAGUAGGAGUUUCCUGCUCCAGAGGGAGUGAAGGCACUGGCAGCCACCACUGGCAGCUGGAACUCCCAAGCUACUCCACGACGCGGGAGGUUGCCUGGCAGUCAGUUUUGAUGACCAGGCCUAGGAGCCACUCUCAAAUCCAAUUCUCCCUACUUUUGAACCGAUUCAGAAGACUCGGAGACCUUGAAAAUGAAAUCAAUGAGAUGUUACUGGGAAUAUUUAUAAACCACAUCCUAAUGCUGCCACAGAUAAUGAAAGAAUACUUCGCAGAGUCAAGUCAAUCCAAGAGAGGAUGAGGAAUUUAUUUUCCAUGAUUUCCUAAAUUUACAUAACUCAAACUUCCAGCUUUUGAAUCUGAGAGGCCUUCCAUUUAGCAUCUCUCCAAUCCUCUUUUGAAGAAACCCAAACUGGACAGACAGUUACUGAAUUUUUGUAAUGUCCGAGGCUUCCAGGAGGAGUGACACAUAUCUCUGCUGGAUGAGCUCACAGUUCCAAUGAGAAGAUACAAGCUGAAAGAUUGCAGCAGAACUGGGAAGUGAAAGCACGGAGAGGCUGUGGGACAUGGAGGAGGGGCGGAACAAAUAAUUCUUGUCCUAAAUUGGAAACCAUAAAUCUGAGUAUCUUCAAGCAGGAGUGAAAACAUCAUGGCUAAGUCUUCAUAUCACUGAUACUUGCGGGAGUUCCCGAUCUGGCUGAACCACUGGAGAGAAGACGGUUCCCUUGAGAAAUAGCCAGCACUGUCUGCCAGUUAGAUGGGAAAAGUUAGAGGCACUUCUUGCUGCUGCCAUGUGAAGGAUGUGUUU
rnacentral:lncRNA from 1 species